GUUUGAUCCUGGCUCAGGAUGAACGCUAGCGGCAGGCUUAACACAUGCAAGUCGAGGGGUAUUUAUCUUCGGAUAGAGAGACCGGCGCACGGGUGCGUAACGCGUAUGCAAUCUACCUUUUACAGCGGGAUAGCCCAGAGAAAUUUGGAUUAAUACCUCAUAGUAUUAUGACAUGGCAUCAUUCUAUAAUUAAAGUCACAACGGUAAAAGAUGAGCAUGCGUCCCAUUAGCUAGUUGGUAAGGUAACGGCUUACCAAGGCUACGAUGGGUAGGGGUCCUGAGAGGGAGAUCCCCCACACUGGUACUGAGACACGGACCAGACUCCUACGGGAGGCAGCAGUGAGGAAUAUUGGACAAUGGGCGCAAGCGUGAUCCAGCCAUGCCGCGUGCAGGAUGACGGUCCUAUGGAUUGUAAACUGCUUUUAUACGAGAAGAAACACUGCUACGUGUAGCAGCUUGACGGUAUCGUAAGAAUAAGGAUCGGCUAA
rnacentral:rRNA from 1 species